rnacentral:snRNA from 1 species
AUCACUUCUCAGCCUUUUGGCUAAGAUCAAGUGUAGUAACUUUGUGCAGUUUCCUUCUCUAAAAAUGGUGAUAAUUAUAAUUACUUCAAAAGGCUGUUGAGAAAAUAAUGUUUAUAAAGACCUCAGCACAAUGCUGACACAAUUGGCAUUCAUGGAA